GCCUUGAAGGGGAAUGGUCAGUCCUCCUAAGCGGAAGGCCGGCGGUUCGAAUCCGCCUCAGGGUGCCA
rnacentral:tRNA from 1 species